rnacentral:pre_miRNA from 2 species
GGUAGCUGAGAAAGAGGAUCAAGAUGUGGAUGAAGAGGAGGAAAAAGCAGAGGAAAGAAGUUUUUCCUCCUCUUCAUCCACAUCUUGAUCCUCUUUCUCA